UACGGAGAGUGCGAGCGUUGUUCGGAAUCAUUGGGCGUAAAGGGCGCGCAGGCGGUUCGGUAAGUCUGAUGUGAAAGCCCUCGGCUCAACCGAGGAAGUGCAUUGGAUACUGCUGGGCUUGAGUACGGGAGAGGGAAGCGGAAUUCCCAGUGUAGAGGUGAAAUUCGUAGAGAUUGGGAGGAACACCAGUGGCGAAGGCGGCUUCCUGGCCCGAUACUGACGCUGAGGCGCGAAAGCGUGGGGAGCAAACAGG
rnacentral:misc_RNA from 1 species